UAGGGAAUCUUCGGCAAUGGACGAAAGUCUGACCGAGCAACGCCGCGUGAGUGAAGAAGGUUUUCGGAUCUUAAAACUCUGUUGUUAGAGAAGAACAAGGACGUUAGUAACUGAACGUCCCCUGACGGUAUCUAACCAGAAAGCCACGGCUAACUACGUGCCAGCAGCCGCGGUAAUACGUAGGUGGCAAGCUUUGUCCGGAUUUAUUGGGCGUAAAGCGAGCGCAGGCGGUUUCUUAAGUCUGAUGUGAAAGCCCCCGGCUCAACCGGGGAGGGUCAUUGGAAACUGGGAGACUUGAGUGCAGAAGAGGAGAGUGGAAUUCCAUGUGUGGCGGUGAAAUGCGUAGAUAUAUGGAGGAACACCAGUGGCGAAGGCGGCUCUCUGGUCUGUAACUGACGCUGAGGCUCGAAAGCGUGGGGAGCAAACAGG
rnacentral:rRNA from 1 species